AUGGUGUCUUUUGCCCUGGAAAAAAAUCAUAAGGAAGUUUUCAAGACGAAGCGCCGCCGUCUCGAGGAGGAACCUGGGCAGGACCCAUAUAGGGCUCUGGCGGAGCUGUUCUGCUGGCGAAACAUCCCUCCGGGAGGGGGAAAUCGUUGUCAUCGUCACCACCACCAAUCCUCUCAUCGAGAGGGGGUCAAUCUCCAUCAACAUGUUCACCAGCACCAUCUCCUCUCAAACCCUACUUCAUCUCUUGUAUCCAAUCUUUGUCUCAAAACCUCAGAUUGGUACCUAUGGGUUGCUAGUAGUGUUGAUUACUCCUUGUAG
rnacentral:rRNA from 1 species